UCAGCCCUCUUGUAUCUUUCUCCUCUUUUUAAUGAUAAAUUUUGUAGCCAUAUAAACCUGUGAUUGUUGCGUUGUUUUUCCAAUUUGAAUAGGGAAAUGUACUUUUGGAUUGUUGGCAUUCUAUUAUACUAAUACUUUGAUGUUAGUCUUGUGAUUCUUCUAUGGAUCUUAUUAAGCCUUGAUAGGAUAAGCGUUCUAGCAGGAGAAUAUGAACUUUUUUAAUGGUUGAAAUAAUAUCCAGUUCAAUGGAAAACAUCUUUCGGUUGUGGGUUGGUAGAUCUUGGAAGGAGUAUCUUAUGUUUAAAUCUAAGUACGUUUUAUUGAAAACUUUUUAAAUGAUUAUCCAUUCUAGCAUUGUAUGUUUUAAACCCUUACCUUGUUAACUACUCACCACUGGCUUGCUAGGCAUGAAUUACAUUUCAAUUUUGUUUCAAUAAUAACUUUCAUUUUGCUGAAAAUGCUUGUCUUUUGGUACGUUGCUUUCUUCUUCUUUUAGCACUUGGUGAUCGUGACCAUGGCUUGCAUAGCAAGUAUCAAUUAUUCGCUUAACAAAAGCACAAAGCACAUAAGAUGAACUUGAAAUCAAGAUGGAUCGUGGUCAUGACUGAUUUUGAUGCACACACACAUGUUCUUUUUAAUUUGAACAAAAUAUGGGUUUAUCCUUCCACACAGUCUUAUUAUAUUUAUAACGAUGGUCAACUAUGUCUUAUAACCAGAAAGGGUAUAAGAGGAAAAGUUUUUACUCUAAGAAUAGAUGCACACACACAUGUUUGUCCUUUUCAAUUUGAAUAAAAUAUGGGUUUGUGCUUCUUAUACAGUUUAUACCCUUUAUUAAAAUUAACAAAUCAAAUUGUCUUAUUAUUUUUAUAACGCCAGUCAGCUAUGUCUUGUAAUCGAAAAGGGUAUAAGAGGAUAAGUUUUUAUUCUAAGAAUUGAUGCCUGGGCCUACUAUUGAAUUAUAGACUAUAAAUUUAAUUUCUAUUAUGAUCCUUGAACUUUUGUACUUCUCUCUGUGGUCCUCCAAUUUGAAAUACUUUGUUUGUUCUUUAAAUUUUUUUAUUUAUCCUCUAAAUUUUGCACAAAAGUAUUCUAAUUUUGCCCAUUAGUUUUUUGUUAAUCAUUUAAACAAAAAAAUUAGUUUAUUUUUAAUAUACAUAAUUCAACACCUAUUUCACUAUAUAUACUUUCAUAUAAACUUUCAAAUACUUAUUUAUAAGCUUACGUUGGUGGAUGUUUCCUUCAUUCCCUUCAUUUCAGUUUAGCAAGUAUAUAUACAUAUAUUUUGGUUGGCAGAAGGGUGAGUCUUCCAACUGUGGAGUUGGGCUGCUGAAGGAAGUUCUCUUCAGAGUUAAGAGCAGUGUGGACUUUGACUGUCAUGGAUGCAUUGUUUUAUUUCUCCCGGAAAUAAAGGCUGAUGUUUUUCCAUUGCAGUGAAAUCAAAGAUACAUGACAUUGUCUCAUGAUUGUCAUAUUUUGGUUUCCAUUCUUUCCUUGAGAAUGUUCAUCUUAAUUAUUAGUUGCAACAUGUGAAGCCUGGUAUGCUUCUUGUAAAUCUCCAGUUCGUGGAUUGUUCACAAGGUAUUAUUAAGCAUUUGGUUCUUCUCUAAUAUAACUGAUGUCCAAUAUUCGUUUGUUGCCUUAAUAUUACCUUUUCACUUUUCAAGAAAGGAUAAACAUACUCUUCUUUGAAUGAAUCUUCCCCAUCUCCCCACCCCAAGUUUUGGUAUAAGGCUUAUAAAUGAUUUAAGAAAUAGAUAAUACCAAUAACCCAAUUGUUAAUAUUUUGCAAUUUUCUUAUACAUCACAGGUGUUUAGGAAUUGAAAACUCUCUUAAAGGACCAACAGUAAAAGGACUGCCAUUCCUAAUCCUACAACAAUUGCUGAGUAGCCGAGUGCACUCGCGAAGAAGCAGUCUCGAUCUUGGGUGAGAACACUAUACUAUAUAUGCAAAUGGAAGCUCAUCUUUUGAAUGUUUUAAAUUUGUUUAUUACAAUAAAUUUAUCAUAUUCUCUUCAUUUAUGUUUUAGUAUUGUAAAACUCGAUUGAGAAAUUAUAAGAACGAUUAAGCUCAAGAAUGUUAUUGUACAACUCUUCUCUUUUUACUUUUAAGAUGUUGGAAAAGUUGGGAUAAUAUACUAGCCACAAGAAUAGUGGGAAUAUAUGGAUGCUGCAUUUGGUGUGAUAUAUUGGCACUUGGGAGAGAAGCUUAAAUAUCUUUUAAGCUCAAACGUCUGUUUUAAAUUUGCAUCAUCUUUAAAUCUCUUGUUUUUUAAGUGAAUGAAAAGUUUGGUUUGCCGCAUAUUUGCACUCUUUUUAAGUAGCUUUGAGUAUUUGAUGUGAACAAAAUCGAUGUUUUGUUUCCAUUAAACUUUUGACAACAAGUAAGACUAUAUCUAGUGAAGUUGUCCUCUAACGUUUGCUCUUUUUCAUCCAUCCUUUUUAAUGAGACAACCUUGGACGAGCAAGAGGACUGGGUUGAAUAACGACGAUAAACUUCGCAUGGCUUUCGUCAUUGGGAUUUGUGGCUCAAUACAGCAGGAUUCGAAGGCUUUUACAACUUCAUUGUAGCCACGGAGAAUCAAAUCAAAGAGCUUGUAUUAUGUUCGGCGACUAUGGGAAUGGUAAUAAUCCAUGUUAUUCUUCAUUUCCUCUGUUAUGCUUUAUUUUUUGGUUACCUUUGUUUCCCGUGCAGAUACAUUUACGUUGACAUAAGUUAGGUUGCUGAGUGGAGUUGAGUGCCAUGGAUGCAUGGUUUUAUUAUUUCUCAUUUGUAUCCCUGGAUUCUUUCGAUCAUUGCUGGAAUUGGAGAUAUUCUUCCGGCCAUUGUUCAUGGACAUUCUUCAACGCCGCGAAAUCGGACUCCCUUUCUUGUUCGCUGAUGAAGAGCCCUGCACUACAAAUUUACGAUCAGCAUUAUUGAGUUCAUUCCAACAUUUUUGCGUCUGAUCAUAGGGGAAAGUGGAGACAUUGAUCAAUAAUCAAGAUGCAUGUCCAUUAACAACGAAGGGUCAUAGAAAUUAAUCAUCAAGGAUUGACGAGCAAUUAUUGAAGAUAUAUUUAGGUUGACAUAAGGGAAGUCUUCCAAGUGUGGAGGUGGAUCGCUAAAGCAAAUUCUCUGUAAGAGUGGAGUUGAGUGCCUUGAAUACAUUGUUUUAUCUCUUUCUGGAGCAGAAGUUUCCAGCUGUUUCAUACUAGCAAUGUCUCUCACUUAACAGGGCAUUGGGGCAGUCUGCCAUGAGAAAACAACCUCUAUUGCUGGUAACUGUUGGUUCCAUCAAGAGCAUUGUUGUCUCCCUUAUCGACUGCAUUUCUGAUGAGGGUGACGUAAAAAACAUUCAAGUCGAGAUCAUUAAAGUAGCAGAUAGGGCGGGGAACCAGGAAAGUAUUCUUUUCGAUGAUGACCUAUGGCAAUCAUUACCAAACUCAUUCAUUCAUUACCAGACUCUGUGAAGGUUGUGGCCUAUGGCAAUCAGGAAUGCAAAUAGUCGAGCGUUGAUCGAGGUCGUUGGACGUACGACGCAUGAGUGGUGAUUUGGUUGUGUGGGUUGACAGGCUUGAAGCUCAGGCAUCAAACGGUCAGUGCCAACACCUCCUCAUUAUUUGGACUUUACUUUACUCAAAGCAAUUUGAAUGGUUGCGACUGUUCGUUGCAUUGAUUACCUUGCGCGAUGGGAACGUUGCGUUUGGUUGGUUCCCUUCUAUUGGAACACCCUUUGUGGGGUGCUUGCUAGAAGCCCAUGUUUCGUUCCAUGCCGAUCCUGCAUGCAAUACAAUAGGGUUCAUCGCGCGGUCUCCCACGGAUGUGAUGCAUUCGGUGGCUUCAUGCUCGGAGGCUUCCCUUUUUUCGUAUCUUUAAUCUUAUCAAUGGAAUACUUGUUUCUCAUUAAAUUGAUGUGGUCAAACCUCUAAUGUUUUGCUCGCUUGAAAUACAAGACUAAUGGUUGUCCCUUAAAAUUGGUUGCCUUGAAAUAUAAGACCAAUGGUCGAUUGUCCCUUGAAGUUGGUUGCCUUUAAAUAGAGGACGAAUUGGUUGCCUCGAUGUGUCGGUUGUCCCUAAAAAUUGGCUACCUUGAUGUGUUGGUUGUCCUUAAAAAUUGGCUGCUUCGAUAUGUUGGUUGUCCUUAAAAGUUGGCU